rnacentral:misc_RNA from 1 species
GUAAAAUAUCAUUUGAAGUUGACCAUGAUGCAUUCUUUUCAAGUGGUUGAUAACUAUUGUUGUCUAGCCAGAUGGAUGCUCUGUUUAAAUUCUAGAUAUGUCCAAUGGCAGAUCUAAGUAGGGAUAAAGGGGUUCCAUAUUUCAAUUUAAAAGUCAAGUUGGUAUUCACAUCUCAAAUAUGCUGGAUAAAAUCUUGAAAAUUAGAACAAUAAUAAUAAACUUUAUGCAGGAUUACCCUACUUUUAUUUUGGAACAUUCUCAAUUUAAAAA